AGUUGGCGAUGAUGACUAACAUUACAGUUUCAACUAGCCAGUUCUGCUUCAGACAAAUAAUGAUCGAUGAAACUGUUCGAAACCUGAGCCUUUU